rnacentral:rRNA from 1 species
CCUACGGGAGGCAGCAGUGGGGGAUAUUGGACAAUGGGGGGAACCCUGAUCCAGCGACGCCGCGUGAGUGAAGAAGUAUUUCGGUAUGUAAAGCUCUGUCAGCAGGGAAGAAAGAAAUGACGGUACCUGACCACGAAGCCCCGGCUAACUACGUGCCAGCAGCCGCGGUAAUACGUAGGGGGCAAGCGUUAUCCGGAAUUACUGGGGGUAAAGGUAGCGUAGACGGUUAAGUAAGUCUGGAGUGAAAGGCCGGGGCCCAACCCCGGGACUGCUCUGGAAACUAUUCAACUUGAGUGCAGGAGAGGUAAGCGGAAUUCCUAGUGUAGCGGUGAAAUGCGUAGAUAUUAGGAGGAACACCAGUGGCGAAGGCGGCUUACUGGACUGUAACUGACGUUGAGGCUCGAAAGCGUGGGGAGCAAACAGGAUUAGAUACCCCGGUAGUC